ACACAUUAAGCUUCAGCAGUUUAUUUACACUAAACA
rnacentral:tRNA from 1 species